AGUGAACGCUGGCGGUAGGCCUAACACAUGCAAGUCGAACGGCAGCACAGUAAGAGCUUGCUCUUACGGGUGGCGAGUGGCGGACGGGUGAGGAAUACAUCGGAAUCUACUUUUUCGUGGGGGAUAACGUAGGGAAACUUACGCUAAUACCGCAUACGACCUACGGGUGAAAGCAGGGGAUCUUCGGACCUUGCGCGAUUGAAUGAGCCGAUGUCGGAUUAGCUAGUUGGCGGGGUAAAGGCCCACCAAGGCGACGAUCCGUAGCUGGUCUGAGAGGAUGAUCAGCCACACUGGAACUGGGACACGGUCCAGACUCCUACGGGAGGCAGCAGUGGGGAAUAUUGGACAAUGGGCGCAAGCCUGAUCCAGCCAUACCGCGUGGGUGAAGAAGGCCUUCGGGUUGUAAAGCCCUUUUGUUGGGAAAGAAAAGCAGCAGGUUAAUACCCCGCUGUUCUGACGGUACCCAAAGAAUAAGCACCGGCUAACUUCGUA
rnacentral:rRNA from 1 species